AGCUCCGAAAGCCACGGCUCAAGGCCACAACCUCCAAGUAGACAUCGUUUACGGCGUGGACUACCAGGGUAUCUAAUCCUGUUUACUCCCCACGCUUUCGCAUCUGAGUGUCAGUAUCUGUCCAGGGGGCCGCCUUCGCCACCGGUAUUCCUUCAGAUCUCUACGCAUUUCACCGCUACACCUGAAAUUCUACCCCCCUCUACAGUACUCUAGUCUGCCAGUUUCAAAUGCAAUUCCGAGGUUGAGCCCCGGGCUUUCACAUCUGACUUAACAAACCACCUGCAUGCGCUUUACGCCCAGUAAUUCCGAUUAACGCUCGCACCCUCCGUAUUACCGCGGCUGCUGGCACGGAGUUAGCCGGUGCUUCUUCUGCAGCUAACGUCAAAUGAGGCCGCUAUUAACGACUCCACCUUCCUCACUGCUGAAAGUACUUUACAACCCGAAGGCCUUCUUCAUACACGCGGCAUGGCUGCAUCAGGCUUGCGCCCAUUGUGCAAUAUUCCCCAC
rnacentral:rRNA from 1 species